rnacentral:lncRNA from 1 species
UGAGGAUGUCUUCUCCCCUUAAACCAGGUCUCUUGACUCGGAGUCUUCCAAGGAUUGAUUCUGGAGUGUAAGUCAGCAAUAUGAACUUGAUGCUCAUUUUGGCCUAAAGAUGGAGUCAUGAUCUGUCCCAGGCUGAAGUACAGUGGCACGAUCAUAGCUCACUGCAGCCUCAAAGGCCUGGGCUCAACGGAUCCUUCCUCCUCAGCCUCUUGAAUAGCAGAUUUUAUACACAUCUGCAAAGUCUUUGGCCCUAUCCACCCUUCCUCUUGACUCUGCACUGGCCUUAGGCACACUGCAUGACUUUCCAGGCUGGGCCAAUAAAAGCCAUGCAGCUUCCAUUUGGUUCUCUUUGGUUGCUUGUUCAUCCCUCUGGAGAUGUUUCUUAUGAGAACCCAGAAGCCAUGCUAUAAGAAGCCACAAGGAGAGGCCAUGUAUAGAAACUCCAGUCAACAGUUCCAGAUGAACCUGUCCUUCAACACUCAGAGCCAAGCUGCCAGACAUCCCAGAACUGAGCCCAAGACUCAGGACAUGGUCGGAAUUCAGUAAGAUGCUUACUUCCUUAAUUUUGGACAGUCUUCUGAUAAUGCAGCAAACUAUCGUGGAAAGUGGUUCUGUAGCUGCGUCACACACUAGGUCCCUAUUGGGCUUUGUGAACGAUGAAAACUAUUCCGAAAUCUGUUUCUUGUGAGUUUUUGCCAAAUCCAAGCUUGUCUUUAGACCAAUUGAUUCUUUUUUGGGGGGAGUGUUAUUCUAAAUUCAAG